CGAGCAUAGUGUGAGAUCUGUUUGUAGAGCUACGGAUAGUGACGCCUGGGAGUACGCCGCAGGUUAAACUCAAAUGAUUGACGGGGGCCCGCACAAGCGGUGGAGCAUGUGGUUUAAUUCGAAGCAACGCGAAGAACCUUACCUGGCCUUGACAUCCUGCGGACUUUCUAGAGAUAGAUUGGUUGCCCUUCGGGUAACGCAGUUACAGGGUGCUGUCAUGGUCCUUUCGUUCAGUCUCGGUGUUCGUUGGAGAAUGUUUGGGGUUUAAGUUCCCCGUUAAACNAGUCGGCAACCCCCUUAUCCCUCAGUUUACCAGUCACGUUUAUGGUUGGGCACUCUGGGGAGACUGUCCGGUUGACAAACCGGAGGUAAGGUUGGGUGACGACGUUCAAGUUCAAUCAAUGGGCCCCUUACGGGCCCAGGGGUCCUAACAACAACGUUUCCUAACAAAAUGGUUUCAAUACCAGAACGGGUCGUCGUAAGUCCGUCGUAGGUUGGAGUCUAAUCUUAGUAAAGUUGUCAUCGUUAGUUCCGGAUUGGAGUUCUGUCAACUCGGACUCCAUGUAAGUCGGAAUCGUCUAGUAAUCGUUGAAUCAGAAUGUUCACGGUUGUAAUACGUUCCCGGGUCCUGUACACACCGCCCGUCACACCAUGGGUAGUGGGUGUCUCCAGAAGUGGUCUAGUCUAACCUUCGGGAGGACGGUCACCACGC
rnacentral:rRNA from 2 species